ensembl:snRNA Gm23970 predicted gene, 23970
GUGCUUGCUUCAGCAGCACAUACACUAAAAUUGGAACAAUACAGAAAAAAUUAACAUGACCCCUGCACAAGAAUGACAAGCAAAUGCAUGAAGCAUUCCAUAUUCUU